CAAGUUCAAUAACGUGUAGCGCAUACGUUUUUCUCUCAGCUAGAAAGCACCUUCCUUAAGAAACGCUUUUAAAAUAUUCAAUGUAAACUACUGAAGAUACUCAUAUUAAGUAGUACUCCCCAAGCUCAUUCCAUCCAUUCUUGCCUCCACAACGCAACGUCUGGAUUGAGUCUAGCAAACUCUCGAGGUGAAUGAAUCUUUGUGUCCGCAUGCUAAAAUUUUAGAAUAUCAAGGAAGAAGAUAUUUGGUACCAUUGGUUGUGAGCAGUUAAAUAUCACGUCUCACAGAAAUUGAGCCCGAGAACAUGAAUAUACCUCUGAAGGUGGCUCCUUGGGAGUGCUCCUGAAAGCAUUCUCUGAUGGAAAUCUCAGACAGCAGCUUUCUCUCUCCAUGGCCCUGAAUGCCACAUUUUCAGGAAGGACAUAAAAUUGGCUGGGCCAGGUGAAGACCCCAGUGAGGCCAGGAGGGACAAAACUUGCCACAAGAACAUGAGCUUUCUGGUCUGCAGUGAGAUAUCAGGAAGCACGUUUAUGUCUUGAACGUCUUGAGAAACACAUCAUAAUGCCAAGUUACAGUAUGAUAAUGAUGAAAAAGUCUCCUCACUAACAAAAAUAAUUAGAAUAAUCCAAUCUGUAUUUAGAUUAAGUCUGAGGUUGGUUAUUAUACCAACAAAAUGAGCGAUCCGUCAGGGAGAGAUAUGGCCAGAACACAACUGCUAAAAUGAACCAAGAGACUUUAACUAUAAUUGUUAUAUGUUCUGCAUAUGACAGAAAAAAAAGAAAUAAAAAUCCAAAUUAGCUAUUUCCACUCUUCAGCAUUGAAAUAAAAAGCCUAGAGUGACAGAACUUGGUGUUUCUCUGCCAAUGUGGUUUUACAUAGGUUUUUUUUUGUUUGCUUUCUCACACUUGAUUGUUCUCUUGGUAGUGUUUCACUAACUCACUGUUAUCUUGACUGAUAAUGAAAGCGCCAGAAAAUACAAACACUUUUCAAUUCCAUCUUUUUCAAUUAUGUGGCACUGUAAUCCCAGCCUGAAGUGCUUUUUUUAAAUAAAGUAUUUCAUAUGAACAAAAUAUAAUUAGAGAUACAUUCAUAUAUCCUAAAAUCUUCCUGUAUAACAUAGCACUGAUAUUCUAUUUGCCUUUUAGGUUGUUUGAAAGUGUCUCUACAGUUACCUUGUAAAACUUCAUACCAUAUGUGUUAUUAGUCUAACACUGUUCUCUUAUUUGAACUAAGACAAGUAGAUACUGUCAGAUACUAGACCGGUGAAAAUAACUUCAGUGAUUAUGAGAUGAACAUUUUUUAUAAGCUCUUUUUCCAAGCAAAAUUUGUGCUGAUAUAUCUCUAAGAAUUUAAAAAUUAUGCAUCCUAUUCAGAAAAUACUAUAUAGUGUUCAAAUGUGCACAAGAGAAGUUUGCCUUUUUAUCUUAUUUGCAUAUAUCUCAUAAGUAUGCCUAGAAAAUAUUACUUAUUAACAUUCAUCUUGUUACUUAUGUAAAAAGGGUGCAGACUCCAAAAGGACAUGUUUCUCCAGUAUAACAGGAUGUAUUUGUUUACUUCUGCACAGUGUUUGCGCCACUGCAGUUAAACUUGCAGCCCACAUUUUGAGGAUAUACCACUCAAUUUGAAGUUAUGAUGUUGAUUUUCUUAUCCAUGUUUUUCCCCUUGAAGCGAGAUGAAAAAUGUUCCAGCAAAAGCAUAAGAAAGCUAUUUUAAGAUCUUUGAAGAAAAAUUAAUAUGUUGCGAUGAUGAUAUUUCAUCUUAAUCUGGCAUCGCCCAGACUUGUCUCUUUCAAGGAAGGGAGGACAUCUGGAAAUGAGUGAAAGCCACAAUAAAAUAAGAUUUUUUUACUGAAACUGAAAUACGAUGGCAUAGUUGUUUCUUGACAGUUAUAUAUUCAUUGAGUAGGAAUAAGUGGUAUGAUAAAGGUGCAUGAUUUAUUGUUAUAUGCAAUUACAUGAGCUGCACAAUAUUGAAAAUUUACAGAGAACUGAACUGAUAUUUUAGAAAUAAAAAUAUGAAACACUCAUUGAUAUUCAUAGCCCAAAAGCAAGAAAAAAAAGCACCUCAAAGUAGCUAGGGAGAAAUUCAGCAAACAGGGAUAACACAGUAAAUUAAUAUAUUUUCUUUGGUGUGAUUCUGUUUCUCAUAUAUAAUGCCUGGAAUAUAUGAAGGGAAGAAACAAUUUUUGUUUGAUAUUUGAGUUUCAUAAUCUCUGUCCCUCAAUGCAAAACAUGAGUCUGACCUCAUUUCCACAAAUUUG